GCUAGCUGUAAACCACUUCUGAUGAUAACAUAUCUCCCCUUUUCUUAUCAUAGAGAGAAGAAAAAAGGGAAAAAGGAGAAGCCGAUGCUAAAAGGAGACUGGAGAGUUGACGGAGAAGUUAAGAACAUGUACUACUUCUGAAGAAGACCCAUGUUAGAUUCAAAGAACAAGAUGACUCAUAAUCACGGGAGUUGUUUAGCUUAUCUCUGCAAGACCAAGUUGCCUUCAUAUGAACUAUGUAUGUAUUCUUUUUUUAAUUCUCCAUAUUUGCACGGAGCCAUAUUGGAUUUGGGCCUAGCCGCUUUUUGACUGCAUGGUUCAAAGUGACUCUGGGCUGUUUGGCCACAGAGUCUCACCCCGAAGAUGACUGCCAUAAAUCUUAAGAUUGUUGGAUAAAGCCUCUCCCAUGAAUUUACGGCACAGGAGUAUAACAUUCAAGGGAUGCCUCAGCUCGAGCAGAUACCAGUUAUCUCCUCAGUCAACACCCAGUAUCUCCACCACCUGACCUCAUCGCCUGACAUCUUUGCCUCCAGCUAUCACUGCCUAUACCCUUGUCUCCCCCUCCUUCAUAUUUCACAAAGGUCACUCCCCCUACCAGAAAGCCUUAAAAGCUGCAAUGUUCAUCCCAAUAAACGAGACCUUGACA